rnacentral:rRNA from 1 species
GUAGGGAAUAUUGGACAAUGGGGGGAACCCUGAUCCAGCCAUGCCGCGUGGAGGAGGACUGCCCUCUGGGUUGUAAACUCCUUUUAUAUGGGAAGAACCGUCCUCAUUAAUGAGUGACCUGACGGUACCAUAGGAAUAAGCACCGGCUAACUCCGUGCCAGCAGCCGCGGUAAUACGGAGGGUGCAAGCGUUAUCCGGAUUCACUGGGUUUAAAGGGUGCGUAGGCGGAUAAAUAAGUCAGUGGUGAAAUCAACGGGCUCAACCUGUUAACUGCCAUUGAUACUGUGUAUCUUGAAUAUGAGAGAGGUAGGCGGAAUGUUGCAUGUAGCGGUGAAAUGCUUAGAUAUGCUACGGAACACCGAUUGCGAAGGCAGCUUACUAUUUCGUAAUUGACGCUGAGGCACGAAAGCGUGGGUAGCGAACAGGAUUAGAAACCCGGGUAGUCC